GUGCUCUCUUCAGCAGGCAGCACAUAUACUAAAAUUGGAAAGACACAGAGAAGAUUAGCUUGGCCCCUGCACAAGGAUGACACACAAAUUCGAGGAGCGUUCCAUUUUUUU
ensembl:snRNA U6 U6 spliceosomal RNA